AAUAGAUACCCUGGUAGUCCAUGCCGUAAACGUUGGGCACUAGGUGUGGGGCUCAUUCCACGAGUUCCGUGCCGCAGCAAACGCAUUAAGUGCCCCGCCUGGGGAGUACGGCCGCAAGGCUAAAACUCAAAGGAAUUGACGGGGGCCCGCACAAGCGGCGGAGCAUGCGGAUUAAUUCGAUGCAACGCGAAGAGCCUUACCAAGGCUUGACAUGCACGGGAAGCCACCAGAGAUGGUGGUCUCUUUGGACACUCGUGCACAGGUGGUGCAUGGUUGUCGUCAGCUCGUGUCGUGAGAUGUUGGGUUAAGUCCCGCAACGAGCGCAACCCUCGUCCCAUGUUGCCAGCGGGUUAUGCCGGGGACUCAUGGGAGACUGCCGGGGUCAACUCGGAGGAAGGUGGGGAUGACGUCAAAUCAUCAUGCCCCUUAUGUCUUGGGCUUCACGCAUGCUACAAUGGCCGGUACAAAGGGCUGCGAUACCGUAAGGUGGAGCGAAUCCCAAAAAGCCGGUCUCAGUUCGGAUUGGGGUC
rnacentral:rRNA from 1 species